UCCGUAGGCGGGCAAUUAAGUCAGAGGUGAAAUCCCACAGCUCAACUGUGGAACUGCCUUUGAUACUGGUCGUCUUGAGUUACAGUGAAGUAGAUAGAAUAUGUAGUGUAGCGGUGAAAUGCAUAGAUAUUACAUAGAAUACCGAUUGCGAAGGCAGUCUACUAACUGUAUACUGACGCUAAUGGACGAAAGCGUGGGGAGCGAACAGGAUUAGAUACCCUGGUAGUCC
rnacentral:rRNA from 1 species